rnacentral:rRNA from 1 species
UACGAAGGGGGCUAGCGUUGUUCGGAAUCACUGGGCGUAAAGCGCACGUAGGCGGCUCGUUAAGUCGAGGGUGAAAUCCCAGGGCUCAACCCUGGAACUGCCUUCGAUACUGGCGAUCUUCGAGUCCGGGAGAGGUGAGUGGAACUCCGAGUGUAGAGGUGAAAUUCGUAGAUAUUCGGAAGAACACCAGUGGCGAAGGCGGCUCACUGGCCCGGUACUGACGCUGAGGUGCGAAAGCGUGGGGAGCAAACAGG